rnacentral:lncRNA from 1 species
GGAGAGGCGUAAACAAGCUGGCGGCGCCUGGGUGUGGUUGGAGCGCCCUGCCCCUGCCCCCCGAGUCGUUUCUGCCCUUCGCUUGCGUGGCGCCCUCCGAGGGUCUCUCUGUGGGCGGCCUCAGAGCAGCGAUCCUGUUUCCCAAGGAGCUGCUGGGGCCCGCGUGGGUGAAGGGCCUGCUUGGGAGCUUUGGAGUUGCAGCUCACCUGGGAAGGGGCGGAAAGCUGCGGGCCAGGGCAGCCCUCCUUCCUGGGCUAAACAUUUUCAGAAGCCCGCCUCCGGGAUUGCGGGGGACCCCCCUGGCUUCUGCCUUCAAGUAGCUCACACUUCACACCUACUCAUGACAUCUAGGGGAAACCAGCCCUAAUAGGAGACAGCUUGAAAAUCAGAACGCCUUAUUCCGUUUCCUGCUGAAACAAGGCUUUAAGUCCUCCAAGCCUCAGUUUCUUCCUCUGUGAAAUGGGCAUAAUGACAUCUGUGACGUGAAGAAUCAAGGAGAUGAAGUAUGGACAGCGUUUAGCCCAGAGUCCUGCGCCUAGUAAAUGCUCACUCACUAGAUAGGUGGCCUUUAUUGCGAGGCUGAGUAUGAUGGGCUCCAUCCAGCACGAACACAAAGCCCUGUGAGAGGAGGCAGAGUGAGAUGAAGUCGAACUGUGGGAUAUGAAAGGCAUUUUGAAGGAGUAGGCAUCAGGUUGGGUUUUAAAGGAAAUGUAGGUUUUGUGAAAUACUAGGUCGGUGCAAAAGUCAUCACGGUUUUUACCAUUAAAACCGCGAUGACUUUUGCAUCAACCUAAUAGAACCAGGCGAGGCGGCUCGGGAGAGAAGGCCAUUCCAGGCAGAGGGAACCAAAGGAGCAAGAGCCUAGGGGCAAAAAAGUGUUGGGAACAGACUCUUCCCUUUGCAUUCACACCAGGGAAGGGAUUCAAGAUUUCUGAAAUCUUCAGAGAUUUCUGAGACCACCAGUGAUGGGAGACCUAAGGAGGAGGGCAGGGGGAGCAGCACUGCUCUGGAGCUCUGACCCAGGAAGCCCCCCCACACCCUGACCUUCCUUGGCUCCAUGACCUCAUCCUGCAGGAAUGCAUUCUGCCAUGGAGGAGAGCAGCCAUAAGCAGAGCUCAUCAACUGCUCACUUUCCAGGGGGCCAUAACCACAUUGUCACUGUUUCUACACUGUCUGGAAGAAGAAUGGGCAUUGUUACCUCAAUAUGGGACCACCAGGGGCUUGCAAGAAGAGGCUGAAGGUGACAGGCAGAGACAGCUCUACUACCAUCUCCUGCCACUUACCAGGCUGGGCCACCUAGAUGUUUUCUGCUUCUCUGGGGUUGAUUUUUGUCAUUUGCUCAACAGACACUAUUCAGACCACUACCUUCCAUACACCACCCUGGAGCCUCCCUGUGACGGGGCUUCCUGACCGGCCUGUCUGAGCAUGAAAGGGCUGAGCCCUCCAUAGGCGGGCGUGCUGACAGGAUGCACGUGGUGGAGGACAUCUGCUGCAUUUGGCUGUGUGACAUCUCCCCCUCGCCUUCUGAACAGGUCUCUGCAGAGGCCAUGAAAAAUGUGCCAUUCAGCUUUUCUGCUAAUUGUUGAAGGCCCAGCUGCCACCGCUCUGGAUCUACACCCCAUUUGCAAUGAAGCCACACAUCUCGUGAGCCACUCCCAGCCCGUGACUGGGCACAGCAGGGGCCCUAACGCAGGAUAGCUCUGAGGAGGUGUGGGACCCUUGACAGUGGAGGACAUUGGCCCGAGAACUCUUCAUCGACCUGAUCAAACCUCUCUUGGAACUGCAAAGCAGUCUGAGACUCUUCUCCCAGUUUAUUAUCUCCCUAUUAACUAUCUAUAGUGUAGCUCAUUGGAAAAGAGUCAUUAAUUUUGAUUAUCAAAUUCACUCCUUUUUCUUUUUGACUUGCACUUUGGGUUUUUGAGAUUUUGUUUAGCAAUGCCGCUUCCAACCCUUAGUCACACGCAGUCCCCCUCUCCUCACAGGUUUCAGAUCCAUAUCAUAGCUGAAGGCUCUCUCUGCUGUCCAGCUCCUCCUCUGUGUGGGACAUUUAUCUGAGUUUUAAAAUGUCCUUCCCAAAAGUUGACUUUAGUAUUAUUUUAUUAUUUAUUUUUGAGACAGUGUCUCACUCCAGUCCAGACUAGAGUACAGUGGCCUGAUCAUAGCUCAGUGCAACCUGGAACACCUAGGUUCAAGCCAUCCUCCCAUCUCAGCCUCCUGAGUAGCUGGGACUCCAGGCACACACCACCACACCGGGAUAAUUUUUUUUAUUUUUUGUAGAAGUGGGCUCUCACCAUGUUGCCCAGGCUGGUCUUGAACUCCUGGACUCAAGCAAAUCUCCCACCUCCGCCUCCCAAAGGGCUGGGAUUACAGGCGUG